AUGGUGAAGGAGAAGGGAAAGGGUGCUGGUAAGGAGAAUGGGAAGGCGAAGGGUGCUGGUAAGGAGAAUGGCAAGGCGAAUGGGAAGGCGAAGGCAAAGGAAAAGAGCUUGAAUUACCUAAUUAGGCAAGAUUCGCCGCUGCCUCUGCCGGUUCCGAGGAAGAAGAGCAAACCUAAGGUGCAGAUUAGGAAGGAGAAAGACUUUCCCAAUGCCCCAAUGGGAGAGUUGAUUUGUAGCUUAAAAAAACACCCUCCACCUCCUCCGCGUCUCCCUGACCGCACCGGUGCCGGCGUGCGUGCCGCGGAAGCCGCUGCCUCCGGCUCCGCAAUCGGCUCCGAGCUGCCUCAUGCAUCUACUAUUGUGGUAGAGGACGAGGAGAAGGAGGAGGACGACGAGGACGAGGAGAAGGAGAAUGAGGAGGACGACGAGGACGAGGACAUAGAUGAGGACAAGGACAAGGAAUAUGAGGAGCAGAAUCUGUUUGUGGUUCCUCCAUUGCAAGCGGGCUGGUGA
rnacentral:rRNA from 1 species